UCCUUCAACUUUGAAAUUUGCAAUUGCAAUGCUGAAUACAUAUUACUGAAUCCUACAAUAAAUAUGUAGUUCGGCUUUGCAAUUGCAAACUUCAAGUAUAGUUAUAU
rnacentral:pre_miRNA from 1 species